AGGGAUGCCACUGUACAUGUCUGUGCUUGUGCACGUGUGGUGUUCAUGUUUACUUACAUUUGCUAGCUCUGUCCACUGCAAGGGCAUGAUAAGGUCAAGAACCAUAUGUACACCUAGCACUCAGACCUUCGUUUCUAAAGACCUUUAUCCACUGGAAACAGGGCUUCUUUGAAUAAACAGAAGAUUCCAAGGCCGGGGAAGAAAAAGUACAAGGACCUUCACCAGCAAGUGGAGAAGCCAGCAAGUGCCCAGCAUAGCCCCCUCUGGUCCCUCUGCAGUGUGGGUAGGCCAGCAGCACAGGCCAGAAGGAUGGCUGCAAAGGUCAGACUUGAAGCCUUGGUUUUAUGUAAGCUCGGCAACAUUGUCCUUUCAACUACAGUGACUGUCUUCAGGAACACGUUAUGAAAAUAACAUCCUAAUGCCCUUUGGCCUUAACAAUCUGGGACCAUAAGGAAGCUACCGACUCACGAUCCGGUCCCUAGUCAUUGAAGAAACUGUGGAGAGGACUGAUGAUGAAGAGCUUGUGAAAAUGUCACAUUUCUCUCUACAUAAGAGAAUUGGAAAUCAGAUCAAAGAAGCUGGGGAAGAUCAUCUCCUGGGAAAUGAAAGUAAAUGAGUUCUUUUAGGGCAAUACUGUUUUAUUUUAAAAGACAAUAAACCAUGAUGGUUGUGAGAUCAGGCUUUGGAAUCAGAACUGCCGAGUUCAAAUCUUGGCUCUCCCAUUUAAGAACCUUGUGACUUGGCAAGUUAUUUAUAUUUCUUUAUCUGUAAGAUGGAUGCAAUUAUACAUACAUUUUUCAUAGGUUUUAUUGGAGAACUAAAUUAAAAAAAAAAUCCGUACAGAGCUCUUGGUCCAAUGCCAAGCUCAGGAAAUGUGAGCUGCUAUUACCACCAUCCUCCUCCUCCUCCUCUCAUCUCUCCUUGUUUCCCUGUUACUGAACACAGUGUGUGGCAUAUUGUAGGGGCGAGACAAAUGCUGGCCGCAUACAAAUUAAACACUAGCCUGUACAUUUUAGAACCCUAAACAAAUCUCAAAGGCAAAUUUUGGCUAUGCCUCAUGUUAAAGAUGAACUAAUUCAAGCAAAGGCAACAGAAGCAGCAGUGAACUUUACUUGAUCUUUAUUUCUUUAAGCUUGCCAAAAGAAUGAGACAAGUAAGCUCUAGAACUGUCUUUCAUCUUUUUUUGCUGCUUUGUGGUCUCCCAUCGCCUCCCCACACAGAACACUAGCUUAACAGGCAGUGUCUCGGCUACGGAGACACAGAUCUAAACUGUUUAACUGGCCUGGGAAGCCAGUUCUUCCUGCUUCCCCACCGUUCCAUACUCAAUCGGUGGUGGGAUUUGAGGCACGUAUGACUGCAGCUAGCUAAGGUCACAGGGUAUCCUCAUGAACUUAAAGCUAAUACGCUAUGAUUCCUUACAUUCUUCCAUGUAAAAAGGCAGACAGCAGCAAAGAGAUCAAAACAGAGGUCACAAACUCCAUGUUCAAAGUAAGCCCGCAUAAGGAGGCUCAGGGAACAACUACCCACCCUGCUUAAUGCAGAGAGAAAAUUACUCACAUCAUCUGAAGCCACUAAGCCUAUGGGGAUACAGGGAGCUGGGCUGGGAAGGUGUUGAGCCAUGUCAUUUUAAAAAGUAAAAGUCACAUAUUUCUCUUGAUCCCGUUCAUUUGAUCUGCCUUUCAAAGGCAGACUCUUAAGUAAAACCAUUCUCUAAGUUGUCACCUGUUCCUUUAAAACACACACUAGUCAAACGGUGGAGGAAAAAGGUUCCCUCUCCAAAGUAACCCCUGAUACCUCUUUCUGAGUGAAUUCUGAGGUUAAUUGUUAAUCCUGACUUUUACUUAGUCAUAACUUAGGUUUUAGUUAAACUGUACCCUCAACGGUCUGCUUCUUCUUGUAUUGACUUUUCACAUGAGCUACCAAGAAUUCUGUGGUAGAUGCUUAUAACCCACCACAUCUCAAUGGCAAGAAAGGCACUUGGUCUGAGAUUAGCUGAUGUGAUUCCUGAAGUAUAGUUCUAUUUACUUAAGUUAAGGAAUCACAAUUGUCAAUGCUGGACUGUUUUAUUCUUGUCAUUUUAAAAUCGAGGUUACCCACAAUAUGUCUGGAACUGUAUUAACAAAACAAUUUCAUUUCCCACAUUUUGGGCAACACUUUGCCUAAUAAAAAUGUUUGCUAAACUA